rnacentral:rRNA from 1 species
CCGCGUGCAAGUUGGCCGCACGGUCAGCAACACAAUCGAAUUGACGGGGACCUCCUAAAGCCUGCAACACCAACCGUCCGGGGAAACUCGGGCGGGGCCCUCACGGGGUGGUAAGAGAGUGCAGGAUGAACAAUGGACGAUCCGCAGCGAAGACCCUACCGGCGAGAGCCCACGGGUACCGUUCACAGACUAAGUGAUUGUGGGCGGGGCGUCAGGCCCCGUCUAAGAUAUAGUCGGUCUCUGCUCGAAAGGGCAGAGCCUAGCGCGUCCGUAGGUGAACCUGCGGAAGGAUCAUUAAAGAAUCGCCCCGUUUUUUGAAAUGGGUUCUAUUCCCAAACCGUGUAUACAUACCUUUGUUGCUUUGGCAGGCCGCCUUUUAGGCGUCGGCUCCGGCUGACUGUGCCUGCCAGAGGACCCAAACUCUUUUGUUUAGUGAUGUCUGAGUACUAUAUAAUAGUUAAAACUUUCAACAACGGAUCUCUUGGUUCUGGCAUCGAUGAAGAACGCAGCGAAAUGCGAUAAGUAAUGUGAAUUGCAGAAUUCAGUGAAUCAUCGAAUCUUUGAACGCACAUUGCGCCCCUUGGUAUUCCGAGGGGCAUGCCUGUUCGAGCGUCAUUAUACCACUCAAGCCUCGGCUUGGUCUUGGGGUUCGCGGUCUCGCGGCCCUUAAAUCAGUGGCGGUGCCGUCUGGCUCUAGCGUANUAUUCUCUCGCUAUAGGGUCCAGGUGACUACCUGCCAUAACCCCCAUCUUUACGGNUGACCUCGGAUCAGGUAGGGAU